GGAGGGGUGGCAGAGCGGUCGAAUGCGGCGGUCUUGAAAACCGUUAGGGUCGCAAGGCCCUCGGGGGUUCGAAUCCCCCCCCCUCCGCCA
rnacentral:tRNA from 1 species